AUUGAACGCUGGCGGCAGGCCUAACACAUGCAAGUCGAACGAGUGGCGGACGGGUGAGUAAUGUCUGGGAAACUGCCUGAUGGAGGGGGAUAACUACUGGAAACGGUAGCUAAUACCGCAUACCAUCGGAUGUGCCCAAAUGGGAUUAGCUGGUAGGUGGGGUAAAGGGUCACCUAGGCGACGAUCCCUAGCUGGUCUGAGAGGAUGACCAGGCACACGGGAAGUGGGACACGGUCCAGACUCCCACGGGGGGAACCAGCGGGGAAUAUUGCACAAUGGGCGCAAGCCUGAUGCAGCCAUGCCGCGUGUAGGAAGAAGGCCUUCAGGUUGUAAAGUACUUUCAGCGGGGAGGCGUUACCCGCAGAAGAAGCACCGGCUAACUACGUGCCAGCAGCCGCGGUAAUAC
rnacentral:rRNA from 1 species